GAAGUACAACACAUUUCAGGAACUUCUAACGAAGUGGCUGAUGCACUCUCCCAUGAAAGUUUCCCAGAAUCAACUGGUUAAAUCAUUCUUGAAAUGUGGAACAUAUUUUUGGUUUCUAUAUAAUCCGUAGUAUGUCUAGAGGUGUAUGUGUCUUAUUAACUCUGUUUUCUCCUAGAGCUCCAGGAAGAAAUCACAGCCAGUGUGGAGCAGGCUGUCCAGCACUGUCUAUGAUUUGAGGUGUAUGACUAUAAUAGGGGGAAGGCUA